UGAUUUUUACCAAACUUUUCAAAAUAAUUACAGUUUUGCCAUUGAUAAUGUUUUGAUCGCCAAAUCUUCGUUACAACUCCGUUUCAAGCCUACCUCGUGUCUACGAAUUCGUCUCAGUACCACCUACCCAAAAAUACCAUUCGUGGUCCCAAAAUCCUUCCGGAUAAGAAAAUGACUAAUUUACCCCUACCCCAAAGGUAAAUUCGUAAUUUCACGUUAAAUCAAUUAAAAUAGACAUUUAAUUUUGGAGUCGGGGUGUUACAUCCGAUUCCGGCGUCGUAGAUGACCCUUUGCAGACAUGAUGAUACUUGAGCCACCUAUAGUCAGUUUAAUGCAAAGGCAUAAUCUGAUUUUUUUUAUUUUUUAUUUUUUGUAGACCUAAACAGUUUUUCUAAUUUGGCUCUUUCACUUUUUCGGUUUCUACAAUUGGGUUUCCUCCUCUUUUACUGGUUAACAUGAUUUCCAUGAAUCUUAUACCAUCAAGAAGCGGUUAACAUGUGAAUAGGAAGCGGUCUUGGGUGGGCAUCUGCAAUUACAUCAUCUGAAUUUUUAUUUUUAUUUUUUUGCAGACCUUCAUUCAUUUGUUUAUUUAAUUCUAGUUUUCCCUUUGUUUAUUACAUAUCGAUCGUAUUAAAUUGAGAGGGGAUGGAUGGAUGGAUGGAUUUGAAUUUCGUAUGGGACACCAGGUACAGAAAAUAUCGGGCUGGGCCGGGCUGGGUUUUUUUAGAAAAUUCAAAGCCCAAGCCCGACCCAUGAGCCGGG
rnacentral:lncRNA from 1 species